rnacentral:rRNA from 1 species
CAGUCGCCGCGGGAACACGUAGGUGGCAAGCGUUAUCCGGAAUUAUUGGGCGUAAAGCGCGCGUAGGCGGUUUUUUAAGUCUGAUGUGAAAGCCCACGGCUCAACCGUGGAGGGUCAUUGGAAACUGGAAAACUUGAGUGCAGAAGAGGAAAGUGGAAUUCCAUGUGUAGCGGUGAAAUGCGCAGAGAUAUGGAGGAACACCAGUGGCGAAGGCGACUUUCUGGUCUGUAACUGACGCUGAUGUGCGAAAGCGUGGGGAUCAAACAGGAUUAGAUACCCGCGUAGUCCCUGUCUCUUAUAC